rnacentral:rRNA from 1 species
UGGGGAAUCUUGCACAAUGGGCGAAAGCCUGAUGCAGCAACGCCGCGUGCGGGAAGACAGCCCUAGGGUUGUAAACCGCUUUCAGGAGGGAAGAAAAUGACGGUACCUCCAGAAGAAGGUGCGGCCAACUACGUGCCAGCAGCCGCGGUGACACGUAGGCACCAAGCGUUAUCCGGAUUUAUUGGGCGUAAAGAGCUCGUAGGCGGUUCGGUAAGUCGGGUGUGAAAAUCCAAGGCUCAACCUUGGGACGCCACCCGAUACUGCUGUGACUCGAGUGCAGUAGGGGAGCAGGGAAUUCCUGGUGUAGCGGUGAAAUGCGCAGAUAUCAGGAGGAACACCCAGUGGCGAAGGCGCUGCUCUGGGGCUGUAACUGACGCUGAGGAGCGAAAAGCUGGGGUAGCAAAACAGGGAUUAGAUACCCUGGGUAGUCCAUGCCGUAAACGUUGGGCACUAGGUGUGGGUCUCAACCAACGAGAUCCGCGCCGUCGCUAACGCAUUAAGUGCCCCGCCUGGGGAGUACGUCGCAAGA